rnacentral:misc_RNA from 1 species
GCUGCGUUGUGAUGUCAAAUUAAGACUGACCUUGCCCCUUGUCCUACUAUGCAUAGUACUUUUGGGGGAAAUCCAUUGGCAAGUGCAGUUGCUAUUGCAUCACUUGAAGUGAUCAAAGAUGAGAGACUUGCUGAGAGAUCAGCUAAAUUAGGAGAGGAGCUCAGAAAUCAGCUCAUCAAGAUUCAGGAACAAUUCCCACAAUAUAUCAAGAAUGUUCGAGGAAGAGGUUUAUUCAAUGCUGUGGAGCUCAAAGGAAAAGCUUUAUUUCCUGUUUCUGCUUAUGAUA